GACGAACGCUGGCGGCGUGCCUAAUACAUGCAAGUCGAACGCAGUGGGGACGGGUGAGUAACACGUGGGUAACCUCCCAUCAGAGGGGAUAACACUUGGAAACAGGUGCUAAACCGAUACUGAUGGAUGGACCCGCGGUGCAUUAGCUAGUUGGUGAGGUAACGGCUCACCAAGGCCACGAUGCAUAGCGGACCUGGGAGGGGGAUCGGCCAAACUGGGAUUGAGACACGGCCAAGACCCCUACGGGGGGCAGCAGUAGGGAAUCUUGGGAAAUGGACGAAAGUCGGACGGAGAAACGCCGCGUGAGUGAAGAAGGUUGUCGGUCCGUAAAACUCUGUGGUUAGAGAAGCGGUAUCUACCAGAAAGCCACGGCUAACUACGUGCCAGCCGCCGCGGUAAUUC
rnacentral:rRNA from 1 species